CUCCCUGUCACCUUAUCCCUUUGAGGGUUGGUUCACUUCUCCCUUUUCACUGGGACAUGAUUCUCACCGACAGUAGAAAGUUCGGCACCCAGACCUGCAGCUGUGAAGACGCUUGCUCCCCUCUCGAACUAUUAGUACUUCUGGGAAACACGUCCCAGUGCCAAACUGUCCUGGUCCUGAAAUGACCCCGUUAUUUGGGGAGGUAGUAAAGGAAAUUACAUGUUUUAAACCCCGAGCGGCACUCUCUUUGGACAUCGAAAGUUAAAAAGAAGAAAAGAAAGGUGAGGAGGCAAAAAAGGAGUAGAGAGGAAAAGGGAGAGACUCAUUUAUCCAUUCAUUCAAGAAGUGCUGUGUUUCCAGAGAAAGAGAGAGUGCCAAAGAGAUAGAGAAAAUACCACACAAUAAUUUGUGUUAUUGUAGUUGUAUCAUCUAUUUCCCCUUCUAACUCAGUUGGGUAAAUUAGAGACGCCAGAUGGGAGGCUAAAGACUAAGGUGAGAUGGGCAGUCUCCCUCCCUCCCUUAUUGCCUGCUGCUUCUCAUAUCAAAAGAUGGAGUCUACAUCCCUCCCCCUAGGCCUCAGUGACUGGCUCAACCCAUAGGAUGCUGUGGAGGUGACUUUCUGGGACUUCUGAGGCUAGGCUGUAAGAAGCCUGGUCCUUUGGAAUAUUUCCGCUUGGGAUGCUUUCUUUUGGAACCCAGCCACCACUUUGAGAGAUGCCCAAGUCACAUGAAGAGGCCACAUGCAGGCCCUCCAGUUGGCAGCCCCGAAUAAGAUAACAGCCAGCAUCCUCAGCAAACACAGAAAUGAACCAUCUUGACAUCCAGCACAAUAGAGGCAAAGAGGAUUGCAGCCCAAGCUGACAUCUGACUGUACUUCCUAGGAGACCCCAAGCAAGAACUGCCCAGCGAAUCCCAGCCAAUCCACAGAACAAUACGAGACAAGAACAAGUUACUAUUCCAAGCUAUUCCACUUUGUUGUGGUUUGUUAUACAGCAAUAGAUAACUUUUUUCAUCCUUACACGAGAC
rnacentral:lncRNA from 1 species